rnacentral:rRNA from 1 species
AUAAAUUAGAAAAAAAAAACGUACCCUCCGACACUGGGGAAUUAGAGUUAUGUUCUAAGGCUUAAUAGAAAUAACCAGAUUGAAGGAACUCGGCAAAAUGCUUACGUGAUUAUCGACAAGUAAGGACUAUAAAUGUAAAAAUGCAACUGAAGGCAACGACUGUUUAAUAAAAACACAAGACUCUGCUUAAUGUAAAACGUAUUGUUUCUAUAUAAAAAUACUCGUAUGUAAAGAGUCUGACAUCUGCCCAAGGACUAAGGUAAACGGCUGCUGUAACUAUAACGGUACUAAGUCUUAUGUGCCGUGCUUAAAGAUAACUGUAUGCUGAAAAAUCUUAUACCGUGGCCCGCCCGCAGCAAAAAGCCUUCGCUUAUUGAAUAAGCGAAGGCGCUCGCGAGGACGGGCCACGGUAAAAGUAUAAGACAAUCAGCAAGAUAGAUUACCUUUAAACCUAUAAUUUACCUUUAUAAUAAAAUGUAAACAAUCAUUUUAUUGGGGCGCCUCGCGCGGUCUUUUUAUUUACAACCGGGAAUUUCCCUACCACAACAAACAGCAGAUGCAUUACGUGAAGCUAAUCUAAUGCUAACCCAAACUAGAAACUUUGAGCAAUAUAUGUACGACGUCGCCUUCGACGGAGUCCUGGUUCCCUCGUUCCCUGUCAAACGCUCCGCGCGAGUCACCCGGCUCCGUCCGGGGGACUUAAAAAUUUUUUUUAUAAAAAAAAUUAAUUUGACAGGGAACGAGGUCGACGCCGCAGCGCUCUCGCGCAAGGCGCUCGACCGACUAAAAAAGUGUUUCAAUGCGGUCGUAUACGUUUAAAACAUGGAAGUAAUGCUACUCUCGUACUUGUGAUUGAUAAUCGUACCAUGUUGAAAGAGAGAGUAAUACCUUUUUAUAAACAAUACGUUAAUCCUUUCGGAACCGAGUUCCCUGUCCCCUUGACAGGGAACGAGGGAACCAGGGCUAAAACUAUACGAAUAGGGCGCCUCGCGGAGUCACCCGGCUCCGUCCGGGGGACUCCGCGGUAAAAUUUGAAUUACUUUUAAGUUACAUUGAACAAGGGGCUCAUAGAAACCUAAAUGCUUUAAUUAAUGAAAUGCUGCCUAUUUGGGGCGCCUCGCGCUCCGCGCGAGUCACCCGGCUACGUCCGGGGGACUCCGCGGAAUGAUUAAAGAAUGCAAAGGGGUCAGAGAAACCAAACCUUCGCUACUCUAUAUGAAGCUAUUGAAUAUGUAUGUGCUCACAAGUAAAAAAGGAGUAUAAUAUGCGGAGUGGAGUAGAGGUGAAUGUUCUGACCGCGGAGUCCCCCGGACGGAGCCGGGUGACUCCGCGGUAUAAAAAGUGAAAUGGUAAUCAUCUUCAGAGACUUUACGUUAUCCUUUUAAAAUUAAAAAAGAAAAUAAAGUCCAACCUGUAGUUAAAUGACAGGAUAAAUUGACUAAGGUAGCAAAAUCCAUUGACGUUUAAUUGAUGUCGCGCAUGAAUGAUGUAACGAUUGUCUUGCUGUCUCCAAUCUGGAUUCUGUGAAAUUGAAAUGCUCGUGCAGAUGCGAGAUACGUGUUAGAGGGACGAUAAUAAGAAUUGUCGUGUAUAUGAAAUGUAAAAAUUCAUUACAAUUAAUUGGGUUAAAUUCAAGAAAGUUAUUUUAAUUGACUUGAAGCUAAGCUCUAUGUCGAAACGCAUAAAAGAAUAGAUAAAGUUCAACGACUAAAUAGUGAGGGCGCCUCGCGCUCCGCGCGAGUCACCCGGCUCCGUCCGGGGGACUCCGCGGUGUGUUUCCACAAUAAUCUGUUUUAAAGUACCCAACAACUGAAGAGACUUGUACGACGUCGCCCUCGACGGAGUCCUGGUUCCCUCGUUCCCUGUCAAGGGGACAGGGAACCUGGUUCCCUCGCGUCCGGUGGGACGCCUGGUUCCCUCGUUCCCUGUCAAGGGGACAGGGAACCUGGUUCCCUCGUUCCCUGUCAAAUAAAUUUUUUUUAUAAAAAAAAUAAAUUUGACAGGGAACUCGGUCGACGCCGCAGCGCUCUCGCGCAAGGCGCUCGACCGACGAGACGCUCGUAAUGUUAAUUAGUUGAUGACAUAGUCUGAACUUAAGAGUAAUUUUAAGAUUAACAUAUUUGAAGACCCCGUAGCACCUUAACAUGAUGGUAAGACUAAUAAACAAAUACUUGUGGGAGUAUUACAAUAAUAAUAAUAACAA